rnacentral:rRNA from 1 species
UACGGAGGGUGCAAGCGUUAUCCGGAUUCACUGGGUUUAAAGGGUGCGUAGGCGGGCAGGUAAGUCCGUGGUGAAAUCCCCGAGCUUAACUCGGGAACUGCCAUGGAUACUAUUUGUCUUGAAUAUUGUGGAGGUAAGCGGAAUAUGUCAUGUAGCGGUGAAAUGCUUAGAUAUGACAUAGAACACCAAUUGCGAAGGCAGCUUACUACACAGUUAUUGACGCUGAGGCACGAAAGCGUGGGGAGCGAACAGG